UGAUGCAAACAGAUGCACAGCAAAGCUGUCAAGGAAGACAAGCACACACCCAGAAGAGAAACGGCAGGCAGACUAAAGCUGGAUCGUGGUGCGCACCAGAUGACCUACUAAUGGGCUUUACACAUAUCAUAGCCCUAACCUGAACUCUGAAGACUGAUGUCCACCCACAAUAACAGCCAAACCAGUACUUAAACAGCAAGAUAUUCCUAAGGGCAAACAUGGACAGGGUGGUACCUGUGUGUGCUGAAUGGGAAAAGAAAAUAUCCUGGCUCUGCCUCGGUGAUAAGCAUGAAGAUUUCUGGACUGAGCUUAUAUCCUUUGAAAUGACAGCUGAUUUAUCAUUCUCAUUCCCUGCCUUUCAGAGUCACUGGUGAGUCCUGAGAAAGGACUUAGGACCUGGUCAUAGGCACUUACUCAGAUUUAUGUAAUAUGUCUAAUACAUGAGAAACUUCAAAGCCUAUAGAACUAAAUGACAAGUCUAUAAAAACA